rnacentral:lncRNA from 1 species
CAACAACAAAGACGCUACUGCCGUAAUCGAAUUGGUCAAAUUAUACAUAUCCCAAAGGAAUCAUUAUCCACUCCACUACCUUGAAGAUGCUGAUCCCAUUUUUCUUCUACCACCUAAUAACACUCCGCACACACGCCGCCACCAUCCUGUCCCAUGCCGCCGCAUCGCCACUCUCCUUCUCCGUCAAAGACUUCGGGGCCAGGGGGAACGGCGUCCACUACGACACCCUUCCAAUCCAAUCCACCAUCGACGCCUGCUCCGCCGCCGUCUCGACCUCCCCCCACAUCCCAUCAUGCCACGUGGAGUUCCCUCCGGGGAAGUACUUAACAGCCACUGUACACUUAAAAUCCCGCGUGAUUUUGCGCGUUCACAAGAACGCCACCAUAUUGGGGGGCACGAAGAUCGAAGACUACCCGAGGGAGCAGGAAAGGUGGUACGUGGUGCUGGCGGAGGAUGCAGCAGACGUGGGGAUCACCGGCGGCGGAGAGAUAAACGGACAGGGGUUGAAGUUCGUGAAGAGGUUUGAGGAGAGGAAGAAUGUGAUGGUGAGCUGGAACGAGACGGGGGCGUGUCUGGGGGACGAGUGCAGGCCAAGAUUGGUGGGGUUCAUCGGUUGUAGGAACGUCAGAGUGUGGGACGUCAAUCUUAUCGAGCCCGCUUAUUGGUGGUAUGUCUACGCGCGUCCCACUUCUCUAACUCUUUUUCAGUUUUCUUCGUCCUUCAUUGGCUCCUCAUCUUUUAUUUGGACAUUCGCAACACUUCACUUCAGCUGUAGGCACGCAAGGACCCCCACUUUGGAUUGUGAUUUCUUUUUGCGAGAUUUUUUUUUGGGGGCAUAAAACACACUCUAACUCUUCUCUUCUUCUUCUUCUUUUUUUUUUUUUUUUUAAAACAAGUACUACAUCUUUUUUUUUUCAAAUGUACAUUUAUGAAAUUAAAAAAAGAAUUAAUCUUUCUAGUAUAUAUUUACUGUUACUUUUGGAUGAAUGACAAUUAUAUAUAUUUAAAAUUUAAAAUUUAAUUUUUAUAUAUGUAUCAUUAGUAUAUUUAUUGUCAGUGUAUGUAAACUUUACUCUUAAAAAAAGUUAAAAUGUGUCAAAGAAUAUUUUCGCGAAAACUCAAAAAAAAUUUUAUUCCACCAAAAAAUACAAUUCAAUCAAGGAAUCUAUGACAUCAAUCUCACUGAGCCGGCCUUAUAUAUAUAUAUAACUUUUUGAAGUUCAGUAAUAGGCCAGAAUUUCUUUUUUGACCUCUUUGUCGCUUUACUCUUUAGUAUGGAAUAUGAAGUACUCAACCAUUGAGCCAAACACCAACAAGGAAUUAAAUCCCGCUUUAGACUGUAGGUCGGAUGUUUGAACCUCACUUAUAGUGAAAAAAUUCAAAAGUGGUGUCGAGCUUUCCUUUGAUUUAAUCGAAUCUGUAUAACUAUUUGCCUCUUAUGCAGUCUCUUUAGACUUCUCUCGGUGUAAAAUAGAAUAGAUUAGAUAAGUACAAAGUACUCAUUUUACUUGGUGGCUACUUAUGACCUUUUAGACUGGGGAAUGGGAUGGAAAAAGGAGAACAGGCAGGUAAAAUAUAGCUUCAAAAUGAAGCAUUUUCUCUAGCACAAGAGGCAAAGAGAUGCAUGCUAAUUGUAGAUAAGUUGUCUGGAGAUAAUCAUCACAGUAAAACUACCACACUAAUCAGCCAAGGAGGAUCUUCAACCUUGUCUAGUAUGUGAUGCAUCUUAUUCUAUACAUGUUUCUUUCUUCUUUUUCUCUUUUUAUUUUUUCUAAUGUAUAUGUGAUUCACAAAUAAGGUGGAUUUUUUAGUUAUAUUUUGUGCAUUGCAUGAUUAAACACAUAAUUUGGGAUUUUUGUUAAUACUUUGAAGUUAGCGCCCAUUUUAGGUAUUGCUAAUUUUAGUCCUAUGGUGCAGUCUAAUAUGGAUGCUAAUUUAUUGGUGAGUUUUUCAACUGCAAUGUACGCCAAGGUUUUACGGCACACAGGAUUUUAAGUUAUCAUAAGCACAAGUCUGAUUACAGUUUAUCUAAUUUAAUUUUCAAGAAGAAAAAUAAAAUCUUAUCUAUUAGCAUACAGUCUAAUGGAAAAGAAAAUUUCCGAAUUGUUUAUGGGAUUGUAAGUUGUAACAACUAUUUUCUUUAUUUUAUCAUGUCCAUGCAGUAAUUAGUAGUAGAUUCUCGUUAUUGAAGGUUACUAAACAUGAAGUUAUAUUUUUCAAACUGGAGACUACCAAAAUUUUUGUCUAAUACUGUUGGACCAAUCAAUAAUUGAUGGUAUGCUAUUGCAAUACAUCAUAAUUGAAGGUGUAAAUUACCAUUGUAGUAUCAUUUUUUUUAUUUUUAAAUGCAAUCUUUAAAAAGUUUAAAACCUAAAGAAUAUUAUCCAUUUUUGAUGAAAAAGAAAAGUUUUAUCCAUUUCCGUGACGCAAAGACCAAGAAUAAUGACCCCACUUCCGGAUAUCCUGUCGGUAUUUUAUUCGUGUCUGCUUCAAUUAUCAAAUUCUGGUCACUGGUCGAUUCACGUCCAAAUCCAAAUUGGACCAGGGCCUAACGGCUGUCAGAAAAACCAAGUGGGCAGGUUUGAACUUCAAACGUACGUGAUGUAAUUUCAUUUGUUCAAAACGUGACUUACUUUCAAUAUAACGUACAUAUAUAAAAUAAAAUUUUGUAAAAAUCACACAUGAUGUUAAUAUCUACGUGCAAAAAUGUGAUUUGGAUCCCAUAUUUUUUUUGGCCACCUCAUGAUCGUCAACCUUUCUGAAUAGUUACUACUUGCAACCGUUCCUGCCUCAUUACCAUCCAAACUAUAUGUCACGUAAGCAGUAGUUGGGUCUCUUAUAUUAUAUAGUUGUGUGGUUGUUUAUAUAUAUAUAUAUAUAGUCUGACAAACUUGUUCAUGGGAGGAAUGUCAGUUCUUUAUUUAGUAAAAACAGCGAAAUAAGUAGAAGGUGGAGGGGGAUGAGUGCCUGGCCUCCAAGAAAUAAAAAGUAGUAAACGAGGAGUUACGACUCUCUCACAAAAUGGUAUUAUAUAGUUGUGUGGUGAAUGGUAGUUUUUCUUUUUCGAUGUAUGUAUGAAAGAGCAUGCAUCAUUUACUUGAGCGCUGCCGUGUUUGUACAUGCAAUCUGAAGUACAUUUCGUAAUGUUGCAGUUUGCACCUUGUCCGCUCGCAAAACACAUCAGUGGAAGAUGUUACAAUAUAUGGGAACUUCAAUUCGCCUAACAAUGAUGGGAUAGAUAUAGAGGAUUCCAAUAACACAUUCAUCACAAGAUGCAGAAUUGAUACAGGAGAUGAUGCUAUUUGUCCAAAGUCAUCCACAGGACCUGUCUAUAACCUUACUGCAACCAACUCCUGGAUUCGAACAAAAUCUUCAGCAAUCAAGCUUGGCA